AGGAAUGUAUAGCAUAGCUAGUGCAUCAUGUAGAUAUGAUGCAAGAUCGACUAUGUGAAUAAAUCUAGGUAGAAUUAUGAUAAUGACAUGUCGCCUAUGUGUCUUGACCAAAUUACGUGCCAGCAGUCGCGGUAAUACGUAGAAGACUAGUGUUAUUCAUGUUUAUCGGUUUAAAGGGUACCUAGACGGUAGAUCAAGCUUUCUAAUAAUGGAAAAGGACUAGUUUACUAGAGUUACUUAUGAGGGGGUAUUAAAGUACUGCUGGUGUAGAGAUGAAAUUCUGUCAUACCUCUUUUCAAAAGAAAAACCAUGGCACAGGUAUAGGCGAAGGCAUCCCCUUAUGUGAUAACUGACGUUGAGGGACGAAGGCUUUGUGUAGCGAACAGGAUUAGAUACCCCAGUAGUCGAAGCAGAAAAUGAUGAAUGUCAUAGAUUAGAUAUAUAAGUUUAUUCUAUAAAUGAAAGUGUAAGCAUUCCACCUCAUGAGUAAUUUGGCAACAUUGGAACUGAAAUCAUUAGACCGUUUCUGAAACCAGUAGUGAAGUAUGUUGUUUAAUUUGAUGUCCCGCAAAAAACCUUACCACAAUUUGAAUAUUUAUAUUGUUUAUUGUUUUAUUAUUAAUUUUCUUAAGAAAAUUAAUAAAUAAGCAAUAAGAUAUAUUUACAAGCGUUGCACGGCUGUCUUCAGUUAAUGUCGCGAGACUUUGGUUAGUUCCAUUAAAUUAACGUAAACCCUUACUUUAUUUUUAUAUAGAGUAGUUCCCCGCUAUAUUGGAUAU
rnacentral:rRNA from 1 species